rnacentral:rRNA from 1 species
UAAUGAUCGAACAGAUCAAAAUUUUAAACUUUUGCAUUUAAAUUUUAUCUUAAUCCAACAUCGAGGUCGCAAACUUUUUUUUUUAUUUGAACUAAAAAAAAAUAUUACGCUGUUAUCCCUAAGGUAAUUUUUUCUUAUAAUCAUUAUUUAUGGAUCAUUUAAUCAUUUAUUUAUGUUUAUUUUUUAAAAAAAGUUAAUUUAAUUUUUCUAUCACCCCAAUAUAAUAAUUAAUUUUAUCUUAAUAAAAAUUUUUAUAUAAUUUUAAAAUAAAAAUAAAUAUAAAACUCUAUAGGGUCUUCUCGUCUUUUAAAAUUAAUUUAGCUUUUUAACUAAAAAAUAAACUUCUAAAAAUAAAUAAGAGACAGUUUAUAUUUCAUCAAAUCUUUCAUACAAGUUUCCAAUUAAAAAACUAUUGAUUAUGCUACCUUUGUACAGUCAUUAUACUGCAGCCCUUUAAUAUUUAUCAGUGGGCAGAUUAGACUUUAAAUUAUACCCAAA